CUCGCCCUAGGUGAAAAGGUUGCCAAGAGAGGCGGCCUUCUCAAGCAAGUCUUGAGAUAGCCUGGGUGUUUUAU
rnacentral:ncRNA from 1 species